AGUAAAGCAGGGGAUCGUGCCCAUGUUGUGGGGGAUAACUACGCGAAAGCGUAGCUAAUACCGCAUAAGCCCUGAGGGGGAAAACGGGGGAUUCUUCGGAACCUCGUGCGAUUGGAGCGGCCGAUGUCGGAUUAGCUAGUAGGUGAGGUAAAGGCUCACCUAGGCGACGAUCCGUAGCGGGCCUGAGAGGAUGAUCCGCCACACUGGGACUGAGACACGGCCCAGACUCCUACGGGAGGCAGCAGUGGGGAAUUUUGGACAAUGGGCGCAAGCCUGAUCCAGCCAUGCCGCGUGAGUGAAGAAGGCCUUCGGGUUGUAAAGCUCUUUCGGCCGGGAAGAAAUCGGCGACUCUAACAUAGUCGCUGGA
rnacentral:rRNA from 1 species